AAACGCCCGGUUACAUUCCGAACCCGGAAGCUAAGCCUUACAGCGCCGAUGGUACUGCAGGGGGGACCCUGUGGGAGAGUAGGACGCCGCCGAAC
rfam:Streptomyces caelestis strain NRRL B-24567 P188contig15.1, whole genome shotgun sequence.